AUACGGAGGGUGCGAGCGUUAAUCGGAAUUACUGGGCGUAAAGCGUACGUAGGCGGUUUGCUAAGUCAGAUGUGAAAGCCCCGGGCUUAACCUGGGAAUUGCAUUUGAUACUGGCAGACUAGAGUAUGAUAGAGGGGGGUAGAAUUCCUGGUGUAGCGGUGAAAUGCGUAGAUAUCAGGAGGAAUACCAGUGGCGAAGGCGGCCCCCUGGAUCAAUACUGACGCUGAGGUACGAAAGCGUGGGGAGCGAACAGGAUUAGAAACCCCAGUAGUCC
rnacentral:rRNA from 1 species